rnacentral:rRNA from 1 species
AAAUUGAAGAGUUUGAUCAUGGCUCAGAUUGAACGCUGGCGGCAGGCCUAACACAUGCAAGUCGAACGGUAACAGGAAGCAGCUUGCUGCUUCGCUGACGAGUGGCGGACGGGUGAGUAAUGUCUGGGAAACUGCCUGAUGGAGGGGGAUAACUACUGGAAACGGUGGCUAAUACCGCAUAACGUCGCAAGACCAAAGAGGGGGACCUUCGGGCCUCUUGCCAUCAGAUGUGCCCAGAUGGGAUUAGCUUGUUGGUGAGGUAACGGCUCACCAAGGCGACGAUCCCUAGCUGGUCUGAGAGGAUGACCAGCCACACUGGAACUGAGACACGGUUCAGACUCCUACGGGAGGCAGCAGUGGGGAAUAUUGCACAAUGGGCGCAAGCCUGAUGCAGCCAUGCCGCGUGUAUGAAGAAGGCCUUCGGGUUGUAAAGUACUUUCAGCGGGGAGGAAGGUGUUGCGGUUAAUAACCGCAGCAAUUGACGUUACCCGCAGAAGAAGCACCGGCUAACUCCGUGCCAGC